ensembl:lncRNA
CUAGUUUCAAUUAUUGUUGGGUAUGCACUUAAUUUACUCUUAUUUAUGCAAUACUGGACUGGGUUUAUAGUUUCCUGGUCUUUAGCAAAUUACAAGAAGUAACCUCAAGGCUCUUAAAGGGAGCAUGAGCACAUCAAGAAAUGAUUGAGAUCUGCCUGACUAAAAAGUGGGAGGCAGAAAACACUACAAAGUUGGUUUGAAACUCAAUCAAAGUUAUUUGCGAUUACUUAAUACAAGUCAAAAUUCUUUAAAGACUUUAAAAACCUCUGAGAUUUUUACUAAGUGGUUGAUAUUCAUAAAGAACUCAGACCCCGCUCUGCCAGCUGCAUGUUAUGUAACAGAUUUCAGCCCCUACUUAUGAUCUGUACAAAAUGUAGAAGAAAUGAACUGGAAUUGAAAUUUAAAUGAGCUCGCAAAAUAGUUGAAUCAAUUAUUUGGCAAGUGUGUAUUUUUUGCUUUGGAAACUGCUUGUGGGAACAUUCAAAUUUUGUAAAGAUUACUCUGCAGAAUGCAUAAUUAUCUAAACCAGGUUAUUUUAACCUUGGGUACAACUGGGACAGCUGGAAUCCUGGAAUAAAUAACUCAGCUUUGAUGUGUCCAUAAUGACUAAUUCUACCUCUUCUAAAAAUUCUCCCCUCUCUCCCCGCAUCAAUGCGAGGUCUAAGAGUAGUAGCAACACCUCGUGGGGUUUGGUAGGUUGACACUCAGCUUGUGUGCCUUUCUGAUUGUUGUGAAGAGAAUCUUGUGAUGACGCUGAGAGAACACUGAGCUGAGGCGUCCUUGUAGAAGAGCAGGAGGCCGACCAUGGCCAGUUUUACAGUUCUAUGUUAAAAUUGAAAAAUAGUUUUCAUUUCAUAAAAUGUAUAGAUCUUUGUAUUCUUUCACCUAUUUCGCCCGCCCCCAACCCCUUCAAGGGGUACAAAUUUCCAGUUAUAAAAUAAAUAAGUCAUGGGGAUAUAAUCUUGAGCAUAGGGAAUAUAGUUAAUACUAAUGUAAUAAUUUUGUAUGGUGACAGAUGGUAACAUUUCAUAAUGUAUAUAAAUAUUGAAUCACUAUGAUGUACACCUGAAACUAUUAGGAUAUUGUAUGUCAAUUAUGCUUCAAUUAAAAAAACCAAACAAACAGAUCUUGAGUGAAUAGUUUGAUGAGUUUUGAGAAAUAUGUAUACCCGUGUAACCAACACCUAGAUCAAAAUACAGAACAUUUCUGUCACCUCAGAGAAUUCCCUAUGUCCUAGCCAGUCAACCCCCUCUCUCUAGAAACCAACUGCUCUUCUGAUUUUCUAAUAUCAUAGAUUAGUUUUGCCUAUUUUUAUAAUUCAUAUAAAUGGAAUCAUAUUCUAGUAUGUGCUUUGGGGGGGAGUCUGGCUUCUCUCAGUCAGAAAAAUGUUUUUGAUAUGCAUCCCUGUGCUUGCAUGCGUCAAUAACUUUUUUCUGUUUAUUACUGAGUAGUAUUUCAUUGUAUGAAUAUGCCACCAUUGUUUUGUCUGUUCACAUGUUGGUGAAUAUUUUAGUUUUCUCUAGAUUUUGGCUAUCGUUAAUAAAGCUGCUAUGAAUGUUUUUAUA